ensembl:snRNA U4 U4 spliceosomal RNA
AUAAUAGUGGCAGUAUCAUAACCAAUGAAGUUAAUCUGAGGUGUGAUUAUUGCUAGUUGAAAACUUUUCCCGCAAAUAGG